UACAGAGGUGGCAAGCGUUGUUCGGAAUUACUGGGCGUAAAGGGCGAGUAGGCGGCCUUCUAAGUCAGACGUGAAAUCCCCCGGCUUAACCUGGGAACUGCAUUUGUGACUGCAUAGCUAGAGUACGGUAGAGGGGGAUGGAAUUCCGCGUGUAGCAGUGAAAUGCGUAGAUAUGCGGAGGAACACCGAUGGCGAAGGCAAUCCCCUGGACCUGUACUGACGCUCAUGCACGAAAGCGUGGGGAGCAAACAGG
rnacentral:rRNA from 1 species